rnacentral:tRNA from 1 species
AGCGGGUAUGGUCUAAUGGUAGAAUUCCUCCUUGCCAAGGAGAAGGCACGGGUUCGAUUCCCGUUACCCGCUU